rnacentral:rRNA from 1 species
GCUUGCUUCUCUUGAGAGCGGCGGACGGGUGAGUAAUGCCUAGGAAUCUGCCUGGUAGUGGGGGAUAACGUUCGGAAACGGACGCUAAUACCGCAUACGUCCUACGGGAGAAAGCAGGGGACCUUCGGGCCUUGCGCUAUCAGAUGAGCCUAGGUCGGAUUAGCUAGUUGGUGGGGUAAUGGCUCACCAAGGCGACGAUCCGUAACUGGUCUGAGAGGAUGAUCAGUCACACUGGAACUGAGACACGGUCCAGACUCCUACGGGAGGCAGCAGUGGGGAAUAUUGGACAAUGGGCGAAAGCCUGAUCCAGCCAUGCCGCGUGUGUGAAGAAGGUCUUCGGAUUGUAAAGCACUUUAAGUUGGGAGGAAGGGCAGUUGCCUAAUACGUAACUGUUUUGACGUUACCGACAGAAUAAGCACCGGCUAACUCUGUGCCAGCAGCCGCGGUAAUACAGAGGGUGCAAGCGUUAAUCGGAAUUACUGGGCGUAAAGCGCGCGUAGGUGGUUUGUUAAGUUGGAUGU